AUGGCCGGAUCGAUGGAACUCCCUACCAAGGGCGGCUUCAGCUUCGACCUGUGCCGCAGGAACGCCAUGCUGGAGAAGAAUGGCCUCAAGAUGCCCGGGUUCAGGAAGACCGGAACUACCAUCGUCGGCCUCGUGUUUGCGGAUGGAGUUGUUCUUGGGGCAGACACAAGGGCAACCGAGGGUCCUAUAGUUGCUGAUAAGAACUGCGAGAAAAUUCAUUUUAUGGCACCAAACAUAUAUUGCUGUGGUGCUGGAACUGCUGCUGACACAGAGGCUGUGACAGAUAUGGUCAGCUCCCAGCUACAACUUCACCGUUAUGCUACUAGCCGUGAGUCAAGAGUUGUAACCGCUCUUACACUACUGAAGACACAUCUUUUUAACUACCAAGGUCAUGUCAGUGCUGCUCUUGUUCUUGGCGGAGUGGAUGUCACUGGACCACAUCUGCACACUGUUUAUCCGCAUGGCUCCACCGAUACUCUUCCUUUUGCCACGAUGGGUUCUGGAUCCCUUGCUGCAAUGUCAGUGUUUGAGUCGAAGUACAGAGAAGGCCUCACAAGGGAGGAAGGAAUUGCACUUGUAGCCGAGGCAAUCCGUGCUGGUAUCUUCAAUGACUUGGGAAGUGGCAGCAAUGUGGAUGUUUGUGUGAUAACUAAGGGGAACACAGAGUACUUGAGAAACCACGAGUUACCAAACCCAAGGACUUUUGUCAGCUCGAAGGGAUACAGCUUCAACAAGGGGCAUACCGAGGUGUUGUCUACAAACAUCACGCAGCUGAAGCUGAAGCCAGAGGUCGCUGAUAGUGAUGCAAUGGAAGAGUGA
rnacentral:rRNA from 1 species